ensembl:lncRNA
GUGGUUGUAGUGAGACAGGUGUGAGACGUACGUGGUGGAGGAAUGAGACAGGUGUACAGGCUGAACAUGCUGUGGUAGUAGUGAGACAGGUGUGAGAUGUACAUGGUGGAUGAGUGAGCCUGGUGUACAGGCUGAACCUACUGUGGUCGUAGUGAGACAGGUGUGAGAGAGGAAUGAGACAUACAUGGUGGAGGAGUGAGACAGGUAUAGGGUCUGAACAUGCUGCGGUCGUAGUGAGACAGGUGUGAGACGUACGUGGUGGAGAAGUGAGCUGGUUGUACAGGCUGAACAUGGUGUGGUCAUAGUGAGACAGGUGUGAGAAAGGAAUGAGGCGUACAUGGUGGAGGAGUGAGACAGGUAUAGGGGCUGAACCUGCUGUGGUCGUAGUGAGACAGGUGGGAGACGUACUUGGUGGAGGAGUGGGCCUGGUGUACUUGCUGAACCCGCUGUGGUCGUAGCGGCAGCAGUAGAUAUCCUCGGAAUCUGAAGUGCUGGUGUUGAGCUGAAAGUCGGCGUACGAGCGCCCUGUGUCAAACUGUACCAAGAGUUUGAGUGUGCGCACGUGGUAGAGCUCAAACACUCGGCCACUGUGACCCUGGGGGGCUAGACACCGUAACACCACGCCUGAGGACACAUCUGAGGACACCUGCACCAGCUGUGGAUAGCCAGGAUUCUCCGGAUCCAAAGCUCCGCCUGCUGCUUAAUGAGAGACAAUAAGAAUUCUGGUAUAAUUCUACAAUAGAUCAGUAAACUG